ACUUUUGACGGUGGAUCUCUUGGCUCACGCAUUGAUGAAGAACGCAGCCAGCUGCGCUAAGUAGUGUGAAUUGCAGAAUUCAGUGAAUCAUCGAAUCUUUGAACGCAAAUGGCGCUCUUGGGUUCUCCCAGGAGCAUGUCUGUCUGAGUGUCGGAUAU
rnacentral:rRNA from 1 species